rnacentral:rRNA from 1 species
CAAUAGCGUAUAUUAAAGUUGUUGCAGUUAAAAAGCUCGUAGUUGAAUUUUUGCUUGCCGCCGAUGUCGGAACUUCCGUACGUUCGGCGGCGUGCAUCCUUGGGUGGAACCUGUGUGGCAUUAGGUUGUCGUGCAGGGGAUGCUCAUCGUUUACUGUGAAAAAAUUAGAGUGUUCAAAGCAGGCUUACGCCGUUGAAUAUAUUAGCAUGGAAUAAUAAGAUAGGACCUUGGUACUAUUUUGUUGGUUUGCGCACCGAGGUAAUGAUUAACAGGGACAGUUGGGGGUAUUCGUAUUCCAUUGUCAGAGGUGAAAUUCUUGGAUUUCUGGAAGACGAACUACUGCGAAAGCAUUUACCAAGGAUGUUUUCAUUAG